CACCAGCGCCACGAGUGGGGACCAGUAUUAUUGGGCCUAAAGCGUCCGUAGCCGGAAUGGUAAAUCCUUUGUGAAAUUGUCGGGCUUAACCUGACAGCGUGCAGAGGACACUGCCAAUCUUGAGACCGGGAGGAGUCAGAAGUAUUUACGGGGUAGCGGUAAAAUGCAAUAAUCCCGUGAAGACUACCUGUGGCGGAGGCGUCUGACUAGAACGGGUCUGACGGUGAGGGACGAAAGCUGGGGGA
rnacentral:rRNA from 1 species